AUCCAGCUGACGAAUCCCAAAUACGACGGAAGGCAUGUCCUGGAU
rnacentral:hammerhead_ribozyme from 1 species